rnacentral:rRNA from 1 species
UACGGAGGAUGCGAGCGUUAUCCGGAUUUAUUGGGUUUAAAGGGUGCGUAGGCGGCCGAGUAAGUCAGCGGUGAAAUUUUGCAGCUUAACUGUAACAGUGCCGUUGAUACUGCAUGGCUAGGAUUUGGUUGCUGUGGGUGGAAUGUGUGGUGUAGCGGUGAAAUGCUUAGAUAUCACACAGAAUAUCGAUUGCGAAGGCAGCUCACAAAGCCAAGAUUGACGCUGAGGCGCGAAAGUGUGGGGAGCAAA